AUUGAACGCUGGCGGCAGGCCUAACACAUGCAAGUCGAGCGAGCGGCGGCCGGGUGGGUAAUGUCUGGGAACCUGCCUGAUGGAGGGGGAUAACUCCUGGAAACGGUAGCAAUAACCCCAUACCAUCAGUUGUGCCCGGAUGGGAUUAGCUAGUAGGUGGGGUAAGGGCUAACCUAGGCGACGAGCCCUAGCUGGUCUGAGAGGAUGACCAGCCACACUGGAACUGAGACACGGUCCAGACUCCUACGGGAGGCAGCAGUGGGGAAUAUUGCACAAUGGGCGCAAGCCUGAUGCAGCCAUGCCGCGUGUGUGAAGAAGGCCUUCGGGUUGUAAAGCACUUUCAGCGGGGAGGCGUUACCCGCAGAAGAAGCACCGGCUAACUCCGUGCCAGCAGCCGCGGUAAUUC
rnacentral:rRNA from 1 species